rnacentral:rRNA from 1 species
UACGAAGGACCCGAGCGUUAUCCGGAUUUAUUGGGUUUAAAGGGUGCGUAGGCGGAUUAGUAAGUCAGUGGUGAAAGCCCAUCGCUUAACGGUGGAACUGCCAUUGAUACUGCUAGUCUUGAGUAUGGUUGAGGUGGGCGGAAUGUGUCAUGUAGCGGUGAAAUGCUUAGAUAUGACCCAGAACACCAAUUGCGAAGGCAGCUCGCUAAACCAUAACUGACGCUGAGGCACGAAAGCGUGGGGAGCCAAACAGGG